UGCGAACUCCUACGGGAGGCAGCAGUGAGGAAUAUUGGUCAAUGGGCGAGAGCCUGAACCAGCCAAGUAGCGUGCAGGAUGACGGCCCUAUGGGUUGUAAACUGCUUUUUUAUGGGAAUAAAGUGAGGGACGUGUCCCUUUUUGCAGGUACCAUACGAAUAAGGACCGGCUAAUUCCGUGCCAGCAGCCGCGGUAAUACGGAAGGUCCAGGCGUUAUCCGGAUUUAUUGGGUUUAAAGGGAGCGUAGGCCGGAGAUUAAGUGUGUUGUGAAAUGUAGACGCUCAACGUCUGACUUGCAGCGCAUACUGGUUUCCUUGAGUACGCACAACGUUGGCGGAAUUCGUCGUGUAGCGGUGAAAUGCUUAGAUAUGACGAAGAACUCCGAUUGCGAAGGCAGCUGACGGGAGCGCAACUGACGCUUAAGCUCGAAGGUGCGGGUAUCAAACAGGAUUAGAUACCCCAGUAGUCCUAUC
rnacentral:rRNA from 1 species